AUGUCUCUGCCAGCAAAAAGAACCCUAAAGCAGUCAUAAAUGAAUAUUGGGGUAUUGCUUCAAUGAAGGAGAACACAGCAGACAUAAUCAAACAGAACUGAUUCUAUGCCACAUCUUCAGGAGCUCCCAGUGCUGGAGGAGAGAGAGCUGUAGCCCUUUGGAUGUGCCAGAAUGAUGGCCACUGGUGAUGACGAGGAAGAUGAUGGUGAUGAAGAAGAUGAUGGCUAACAUUUAAAGUUGUUCUGCAAGGGACAGUAGAGGCGUGGAUGAUGGCUGCUUGCAAACUCACAUAUCUUAUUAUCAUAUUGAGAUGACACCUGACCAAUGCAUUUGAGAAAUGCAAUGCUCUCCUGGAAAAUGUGGGAGGUUGUCUGGAAGGAACUCCAGGCUGUGUUGGACCUGAAGAUGAUGGAAGAAUCAUGUGCACUGUGAAGGUUCCCAAAACUGACAGAGGGAAGCCAACACAAAUUGAUCCUCCUCAAGAUCCACUCAACCCAAGUCCAUGAGAUGAUCACCUGCAAACUCAGUCCUGUGAAGCAUGGAUAGUGCAUGAAGCAGAAAGUGGUGUGCGCAUGUAUGUACAGAUGCAAAGAAGGAAGAACAUGCUAACACUUAAGAAAACGAAAAAAAACAGGAGCGAAGGCACUAUACAACCGAGCAUGCUGGGCCAUAAACAAAAGAUGGCGGCCUUCAAGCUAUUACCAGGCAAGGGGGAUGCUAUACAUAACGUAACUCCUAGGACGAGUCCCAUACGAGUAUGAACUUGGCAGGACUGCUUCACAACACUGCUGUCUCUGACCUCACAUUUUCCCCAAUUUUAUCGGCAGUGAGAUUAUUUAUUUAUAUAAGCUGCUCUUUAACCCUUCUUGCCCAGUGCAGGGUUUGUACACUCCAUCACAAUUAUGAUACAAUCUAUAAUUACAUGAUCACAUUAUUUUUUCCACAGGACACCUGCCUGAUUCAAUGCACAGGAUGGACCUGCUCUGGGGAUGAAACAGGGUUGGUGUAGUGAAGGAGACUGGUCUCUGAUGGACCCCUGCUUCACUGGUUGCAGAAAUCAGAAAGUGUGUGUGAUGGGGUGCCUGCCCCACACUGGCCUAAAAGGGGUUAAAGCAACCCUAGAGAGGCUGUGCAGGAGGCAGCCAAUUGGAGAGGACCCUAGGGAGGCUGUGCAGGAGGCAGCCUAUUGGAGAGGGGCUGCGAGGAGCAGCCAAUCAGGGCUGGGCAGGCCCAUAUAAGAAGAGCCACAGGACAGGGCAGGUCAGUCACUCCCCAGAGCUGAAGGAGGGAGGAGAACUGGCUGCCUUGCAGGUGGAAAACAGCUAGCACCGUGGACAGAGCAGUGCUAGGCAGGAUCAGAGGAGUGAGCCCGAGCUCCUGGCUGACUGCUGGGGCCCUGAGACAAGGGCAGAGAAGGUUCUGAGGCUGUGGGGAAGCGGAUCAGGGAAGUAGACUGCAGGGUUGGAGGGGACACAUGUUGGGGCUGACUGCAAGUUUCCUUGGGCUGAUGUUACAGAAUGGGUUGGGGGGAGCUAGUAGUGAACUGGCUUUGACCGGCUGAGCUGGCUUGCAGCCACUUGGCUGGAUAAACAAGUGAAGAGAUACGGAAGGCCUGAAACGGUAAAGUGUGGGAAUAGAAAACAGCAGUGUUUCCUGCCAGUCUCACCUGUGGACCCUGUCCUUGUGAGUGCCCAGGAAUUCCCCACGCUGGAGCAGCGCCUGCUACGAGCCCUCAAGGACAAGGCAGGAGGGUCUGGGACUGUCCGUAGCAGAAGGGGCAUAAGCAUUGAUGCUUGCUUGCUGGAAAGCAUGUAUUUAGUAAUGCGUGAACGCUGUCAGGCUUAUUAUACUUUGGCAAUAAAACCAGUUAUGCUUCUGCACCUGGCGUGGCUUCACUGAGUGUAUCCGAGCCCCCCACCCCAGGAUCAACAAUGCAGCACAUGGCUGUCAUCUACAGGGUCCCUGGGCUGGGACCUGA